GUACAAGCUCUCGCCUGCCGCCAUGUAAACGUUCUUUGCUCCUGCUUCGUCUUCUGCCGUGAUUGUGAGGCCUCCCCAGCCAUGUGGAACUACUCAUCACUCACUGCAGAUGUUACUUUAAGACAUUCUGGAGCAGCGUCAUGUGCAGGAGAAAAUAGUAUCAUCUCAGCCUUCUAUGAAAUCAAGGCAAUAUGUGCGUAGUGCCUCCGCCCAUCUCUCUCUUGCUCCUGGUCUCAUCGUGACGGGCCUGGUCCUGCCUCACUUUAUGCCACGACUAAGAGCUCCCUGAGGCCUCUCCAGAAGCAGAUAUCACUAUGCUUCCUACACAGCCUGCAGAACCGAACAAUAAGGAAGUGAGUGCUUUUGUAAUUCCUGAACAACUGUGUCUUACACUUACUAAGGGAUUCAUGGGCAAUAUGACUGAAUAGGAACAGCUCCAGUCUGAAGCUCCCAGUGAGACCAACAUAGAAGUUCUCUUGCCUGCCACCAUGUAAGAUAUGCUUUUACUCUUCCGCCUUCCACCGUGACUGUGAGGCCUCCCCAGCCAUGUGAAACUGCCUUUGAGCUUAUACUGAAUUAUACCACCAGCUUUCCUAGGUCUUGAAGCUUACAGACAGCAGAUCUUGGGACUUCUCAGGCACCAUAAUCAAUCAUAGAUAAAUGAUCCAAUGAUUCGGAACUUGAAAAGUGGUAGCUUUAUGAAUUCUCCUUAAGAAGAAACCUGUGCCCUGAUCUUGCCUACUCACCCAAAGGCACUGUGAGAUAGCAUCAAAGGAACAGCUAGUAAGAGACACAGAGCCAGAAAUCAGGGAAGUAAAAUACACUUGACAUCUACGUUCGGAAAGAAAUUUUAGGAGGCAGAAGCAAAUGGAUCAGAAGCUGCUUAUAUUUUUGCAAGAUUACCAAAGAAACCAUUGGUGGAGAAAGUUCUGUGACCAACUUGUCUGAGUCUAGUAAGAUUGAACGCUCACACACAAGUUUCAUGAAGUGGGUUUGAUACUUACAGAUAAGCAGCAAGGACCAACAGAAGCUGAUGAUCUAUGGUGAACUUUUUCCCAAGGCUCCGGAAAGCUGCCUAAAGUAGAUGGAGUCUUCUCUGUGUGUGCCCCACUGGUCCUGCAGUUGAAGGAUCCGGUAAAGCAGCCUGCCCUUGGUUUUAUACUCCAGAGGAACGUGAUUCGCUGGACUAAAGCAUUGAAGUGCAUCCUGUUUCCGGGGGGCACUGGAACAGAGCCUGGUCUGUUCUAGCCAGUCCCUUUCUAUCUCAGGAUAACAUUCUACAGUUAUUCUUGAGAACUAUAAUCAAAUAAGCAGGGAGAACUGGGUAAGUCCAAGGCUUAUCUAUACAAGCCUUUAAAUAUUCAAGACCAAAAAAAAAAAAAAAAAAAAAAAAAAAA
rnacentral:lncRNA from 1 species